GAUGAACGCUGGCGGCGUGCCUAAUACAUGCAAGUCGAGCGAACGGACGAGAAGCUUGCUUCUAUGAUGUUAGCGGCGGACGGGUGAGUCACACGUGGAUAAACUAACUAUACGACUGGGAUAACUUCGGGAAACCGGAGCUAAUAACGGAUGAUAUUUUGAACCGGAAGGUUCAAAAGUGAAAGAAGGUAUUGCUGAGACUUAUAGCUUGAUCCGCGCUGGAUUAGCUAGUGGGUAAGGUAAAGGCUUACCAAGGCAACGAGGCAUAGCCGACCUCAGAGCGUGAACGGCCACCUGGGAUCUGAGACUCGGUCCAGACUCUGACGGGAGGCAGCAGUAGGGAAUCUUCCGCAAUGCGCGAAAGCCUGACGGAGCAACACCGCGUGAGUGAUGAAGGUCUUCGGAUCGUAAAACUCUGUUAUUAGGGAAGAUCAAAAGUGUAAUUACCUGUGCACAUCAUGACGGUACCUAAUCAGAAAGCCACGGCUAACUACGUG
rnacentral:rRNA from 1 species